GCACCUACGGGAGGCAGCAGUGGGGAAUAUUGCACAAUGGGCGGAAGCCUGAUGCAGCGACGCCGCGUGAGGGAUGACGGCCUUCGGGUUGUAAACCUCUUUCAGCAGGGACGAAGCGUAAGUGACGGUACCUGCAGAAGAAGCGCCGGCCAACUACGUGCCAGCAGCCGCGGUAAGACGUAGGGCGCGAGCGUUGUCCGGAUUUAUUGGGCGUAAAGAGGUCGUAGGCGGCUUGUCGCGUCGACUGUGAGAACCCGCGGCUCAACUGCGGGCUUGCAGUCGAUACGGGCAGGCUAGAGUUCGGUAGGGGAGACUGGAAUUCCUGGUGUAGCGGUGAAAUGCGCAGAUAUCAGGAGGAACACCGGUGGCGAAGGCGGGUCUCUGGGCCGAUACUGACGCUGAGGAGCGAAAGCGUGGGGAGCGAACAGGAUUAGAUACCCCGGUAGUCG
rnacentral:rRNA from 1 species